UACGUAGGGGGCUAGCGUUGUCCGGAAUCAUUGGGCGUAAAGCGCGUGUAGGCGGCUCGGAAAGUCUGGUGUGAAAUCUUGAGGCUCAACCUCAAGCUGUCACUGGAUACUGUCGAGCUUGAGUCCGGAAGAGGAGUGUGGAAUUCCCGGUGUAGCGGUGAAAUGCGCAGAUAUCAGGAAGAACACCCGUGGCGAAAGCGGCUCUCUGGAACGGUACUGACGCUGAGACGCGAAAAGCGUGGGGGAGCAAACAGG
rnacentral:rRNA from 1 species